rnacentral:misc_RNA from 1 species
CUCUCACUAGAGGGAUUAUGUCGACGUUACAAAUGUGAUAUCAUGUGUUAUAUACGCUGGUGAACCUUGCACUUUUAAAUUACGCUAAACGCUCUCCUUUUUAAAAGUUUCCGAGAUAGAUUUUUUGACUGUGUUGUGAAGAGUUUUGAUUAAGAUCUAAGAUGACGAUGCACAUAGACUCCUAUGUAAAAGAGGCCAUGUACUGAAAUGAAUAUAGAACAAUCUCCAGGUUCAACUAUAAUUCAUCGGCGUCCACCAGAAGUACUACUGGACGUUGACAUCAAGCAUGCAGAGGAAAGUUUGGGAUUGGUUGAACAGAAAUUAGAAGAACAUCAUGUACAUCACAAAGAAAAGCUUACCAACAAAGAAAAAGUCCUCACUUCUCUUACAGCAGGUGCUAUGGCAGGAGCUAUUGCCAAGACUGUUAUUGCUCCUCUUGAUCGAACAAAAAUUAAUUUCCAGAUCCAGAAUAAGAAGUUCACGUUUCGAGAAGCUUUCCAGUUCCUUAUUGAAAGCUACAGGUCAGCUGGUAUCCUGAGCUGGUGGCGAGGGAACUCUGCUACAAUGGCCAGAGUCGUUCCAUACGCUUCCAUACAGUAUGCUGCUCAUGAGCAGUGGAAGCGAGUUCUACAAGUUGAAACUAUUGUACAGAAGAAAUCCUACCCAGGGAGGUCUUUCGUAGCUGGAUCAUUGGCUGGUGUUACCUCAAGCACUUGUACUUAUCCAUUGGACUUGGCCCGAGCUAGAAUGGCUGUGACUCACAAAGACAAGUAUACGACUCUUGCUCACGUGUUUUUAAAAAUUUGGAAAGAAGAAGGAGCUCGAACAUUGUACAGGGGUUACUCACCUACUGUUUUAGGGGUAAUCCCUUACUCAGGGACUAGCUUUUUUACCUAUGAGACUCUGAAAAGGUUACAUUAUGAAUAUACUCAAAGAAAUGAACCAAAUCCUGCAGAGAGGCUUGUGUUUGGUGCUUUGGCUGGCUUGUUAGGUCAGACUUCCUCCUACCCACUAGAUAUUGUUCGCAGGCGGAUGCAGACGGCAGUUGUAACAGGCCGAAGUUAUCGAACAAUUAAAAGUACUCUUACUAUUGUAUUGAAAGAAGAAGGUUUGAUUGGUGGUCUCUAUAAAGGAUUGAGUAUGAACUGGGUCAAGGGUCCGAUAUGUGUUGGGAUCAGCUUUACAACUUUUGAUCUCCUCCAGAAAUUCUUCAGACAGCUUCAACUUUUUAGAAACAGGUAACACUCAGUACCGCUGUUGUGGAGACUAGACCUCAUGAUUGUUGCACCUGGAAAAGUUUCAUUUAGAUAUGGAAAAUAAGUUUCCAUAGUUUAAUACAAGUGUUGUUUCAUACACUUAGUGAAGAUGACUCGUCUAGUGUGGUAAGCAUGAAUGCACUCGAUCAGUCAUUAGUUUUCAUAGCUGUAGCUGUUGUUUCACACACACACACACACACACAGUGAAUAUGAUUUGGCUGAUUAAAUAAACAUGAUUGAGCUUGAGUCAUUUAAUAGGUUACAUAGUUCCAGCUGGUUUAACACACUCGCUUAGCUUAAUAAACCAGACGGUUGUUGAAUCAUUCAUUACAUUUUAGACAAAAUAUGUUGUUUUUUUUAAUUGUGAAAUAAUCUGUAGUUGAGAUAAUUAAAUACAAGAAUAUUGUUACAUAGUUCCCCCUUACUUUUUUAUCUAGUUAAAUCAACUUUACAUUGUUGCCUUUUUUUGAGUUGUAAGAUAAUUUUUUCUCUUUAAAACACAUAUAUAUAUAUAUUUUCCUCAUGAGAGCAUUGCUAUUAAAAUAUGAUAUUAAAGCAGGGGUGAAUUUCAACUGGUACAUACCAGUACCAGAAUAAAAAUGUUUUGUACCAAAUUAUAAAUAUGGUACUAAAAUACAAUUUUUAAAUUACUUAAUACAUUAUUGAAUUAUAAAAUAGUUUUAAAAAUUAUAGAACUGUGGACUGGUGUAUAUUUGCAUAUUCACAUACUUUGUUCAGGCAUAAAGUUUUACCCAGCAUUAAAGGCGUAACAUAAUCUUUAAAGUAAAAGGUUAAACUGGUUCACUUAGCUUGAUGCACCACAAAUUCAUACAGAAUUUGUAAAGUUUUCCAGCUUAAACAAUUCCAAAAUUAUGAAUCUGUUUUUUCCUUAGAUUAUUUAUAGUUUUAUUUUUGUCAUGACUGUACCUUAAUAACACAGAAUUAUACUAAAACAUUGUUACUUUGGGCGAGACUUUAUGAUCAAAUGUUUUGAUUAACACAAAAAAAUGAGAAUUUUGGCUUUUCAGUCUCUCUGUUUAUAUAAACAAUAUAAUAUUAAGAUAAUUACAAAUCAUUGUUUAUCAGAUACUGAUUUGACUAAUAAUCAUUUCGUUUAUUGAAAUUAAACUUAAAGUUUAUGUUGACUAUAUAUAUAUAUAUAUAUAUUCAUAAAUGAAGAAGUACAAAAAGGUUGAAUUCAUUGUAAGUGAUAAGAACAAAUAUUAUUAACAUACCUGUGUAAAUAUACUAAAGUGUAAUGUAAUUAAUAUGGAACUUUUAUUAAUUGCAGAAAAAAUGCAAUCUAACGUUUUCAGUUUUUUUAUCUAGAGGACUGGUACUAAUUUAACAUUCAAAGGGGUAUGGUUGAUAAUAAAUAUGUCUAUAGGUGCGUAUCAAAAAGUUGGCUGAAAACACUGUGGGGGACUUUAAAGGAGUACGGUUGAUAAUAAAUAUGUCUAUAGGUGCGUAUCAAAAAGUUGGCUGCAAACACUGAGGGGGACUUUAAAGGGGUAUGAUUUCUAGUAAAUAUAUUUAUAGGUAUGUAUUAGAUAGUUGGCUGAAAACAUUUGUCUUAAAAACAAAAUAUUACACACACAUCACAACUCAAAUUAUGUGAAAGUUUGUAAUACAGAAUCGGGUUUCGAUACCUGGGGGGGGGGGGGCACGGUGCAGAUAGCCUGUUGUAUAGCUUUCCAUUUAAACACAAACAAAAUCAAGAUUGUUGAGCUUAUUUACCUUUCCUUUUUUUAAAAGUUUUAGUAGGAGCUAUUGAACAGAAGAAAAUUCAAAAUAUUGUUUACCUGUGUUUCACAGAGUUUUAAUAAAACUCUUACUUCCUCUAGUCAUUUGUUAUCUGGAUUUGAUUCUACCUUUUUUUCUAAACACUUCAUUACCUAAAUUGACCCAACUUAUUUCCCCCAAAUUAUCCUUUUUUCAAGAAUAUAAAGAUAAAGUAAAGAAAUCAGAGUAUGUUACAGAAAAUAAUGGCAAUAAGUUCAAUAUGGUAAUGUUCCAAAUCCUACUUAGAUUUUCAGUUAACUUUUUUUGUGUCCAUGAACCUCAGCUUGACUGUUGUGUCAAAAUUCCCUGGUCAUUACAAUGAAGAAGGUAGACACACACUAAGAGGAAAUAAACCUAUAAAGCCGGACACAGUUAACCAACCACCUAGGAUCUUACGUUUUAUUCUGUCAGUACAAAAUUGCUAAUCACAUCGUAUUUCAUGUUUGGGGGGAACAAGAAUGCAUCAAGUUUUAAACUUCUGUAACAUGUUCCUGUAGUGUUUUCACAAACAUUCUGAUCAAUUUUAUGUACAUCUUCAUUUAUCUAAAAUAAGCUGAGAGACCUCUUUUAUUUGUAGGGUAAUAGAAUGUAAAUAUUAUCAAGAUUUGUUUUUGAAAUGUUAUCCAAACUUUCCUGUUCUUUUAUAACUAUCCCAAUAACAUUUUAACAGGAUCAUCUAAUAAAGAAAAACUAACAUUUAUAGGUAUUAUACUUGAUCAAAUUCUAAGUACACGUGCAGGAAAAAUUAUUCAUUCCUAACCUUUACAACACUUUCUUGUAAUAAAAACCUGUUAAUAUUCUCACAGUUUAUGACAACACCUUUCCCAGCCAAUAUAUAUAGAUAAACAACAUUACCAGUGGCAGGUUUAUUCUUAAAUACAGUCAUUAAAAAUAUUUUUUUAAUAUUUAUUUUAAACUAAAAUUUUAUAAACUUUGAAUAACUCGAAGGGAAAUACGCCUUUUUAUGGUGGCACAAAAUUCCAAACUCGAGUGGCAAUGCUCUUGAGGGGGGGGGGAGGCAGGUAUAUGCCAACAGCAGUGAAAGAAUUAAGAUUUUCAUCCAAAUACAUUUAUGUACAUUACACUUUAAGUUUUUAAUUUAUUUAUUAAAGAAUACUGGAGUAAGAUAUAAGACAGAAAUAUCUACUAGUUUCACUUUUCAGGUUAGUGUUGACCUAUGUACAUAUUUCAUCUUAAAACAAAUUGUAUUAAAUAUAUACACGUAGCUGGGAUUUUAAAUUAAU